ACAGAAACAGUAGCUUUGCAUUUGCUAUUUUCCAGAUCUGCAGGCUCCAAAAUCACACAGAUCUGUAGGCUUCAAAAUCACACAUAGGUACCAACAAAAGAGUGCAAUCCACCAUCAGCGGCAUCUUCUUCUUCCAGAAACAAAUUCUCUGUAAUUCUAAAAGUUGCAUGCAAAAAUAUCAACACAAUCCCUACGACAAUCGACACCAACACAUUCAACCAAACAUGAGUGAGCACCAAGCUCACCACUGUAACAACUCCGAGAACAACCAGAACAAUUCUAUCAUCAAUCGUACGAUUAAAAA
rnacentral:misc_RNA from 1 species